CAUACUUUUAUUUCCAUGCACCAGUUUCAAUUGUGGUUCUAGCAACUAUCUGUUCAAUCAACAAUAUUGAUGACAAAAAUUGUUUUGUAAACUCAGUUACCAGAUCUGAAUAGAUAUCAGUGUGGAGAUCGCUGGAGAGUCUCGUGUUGCUCUGUCUUUUGUCAUGUUUUCUCUCACACCCUUCUCAUCUCUAUAAAUACCCAAUCUGGAAGAAUCUGCAAGAAAGGAAGAAGUUACUCAUCAGGAGUUUAUAGAUCCAAAAGUUUGCCUCAGGAUGAUCAGAAUAGUUCAGCUGUUGUGUCUUUCUGGCUUUCUUCUACUGUGUGAAGGUCAGGGUCUCCAGACAUGCCUCACUCACCCCACGUACAGACCGGCAGAAAACGCCGACAUAACAGUGGUGUGUGGAAUCAGUCAUAUUUUUUUAAAAGUUUUAAUUUGUCCAAUGUAUUUCGGGGGAUACCACGAAUCAUUAAUAGCGCUCAAUUCUAAGUUCAACGCCCCAGCCUGCCAUGGAGUAUCGGACUGGACUGUCAAUCCUCCCGUCUUGCUGUUCAACUUCUCAAUCUCUCAGGAGGUGCUCACCCUCUGUGGCAACAAU